rnacentral:rRNA from 1 species
UGCCGAAGGGUGACGAAGCGACGCCGCGUGGGUGAGGAAGGCCUUCGGGUUGUAAAGCCCUGUCAGGAGUUAAGAAAUGUAGACUCGCUAAUAUCGGGUCUAUUUGACAAAGGCUCCAAAGGAAGCCACGGCUAACUCUGUGCCAGCAGCCGCGGUAAUACAGAGGUGGCAAGCGUUGUUCGGAAUUAUUGGGCGUAAAGAGCACGUAGGUGGAUUUGUAAGUCAGACGUGAAAGCCUUCUGUUCAGCGGAAGAAUUGCAUCUGAAACUACAAACCUUGAGUGUAGGAGGGGAGAAUGGAACUUCUGGUGGAGCGGUGAAAUGCGUAGAUAUCAGAAGGAACGCCGGCGGCGAAAGCGAUUCUCUGGCCUAUUACUGACACUCAGUGUGCGAAAGCUAGGGGAGCAAACGGGAUUAGAUACCCCGGUAGUCCUAGCCGUAAACGAUGGGCACUAAGUAGAGGGGU